GAGAUUCCUGAUCACCUCAGGCUCACUGACCAUAUAAUGCAGUUUGAAAUGCUUUAAGGACUAAAGUCAGGGGAAAGUCUGGAAUAAGCUCCUGAAUGUGCUGCUGGACACCACAGUGUCACCCACAUUGCACAGUGAAUUUGGUCUGCAGAGUACACAGCGUAUUGUGGACACCAAUUUACUGAUGUGCAUGGUGCAAUUCAGAACACUCUCAACCACUUGGAUUAAUAGCCUCUACGCUUGGAAGUUCUCUUGGCAAAUGCUAUCAUGAUUAAUUAGGCUUGCAAGGUCUGGACUACCCCAGGCCCUGAAAUUUCAGGACCCAAAACACACCUAGGGAUAACCCUUUGUGAUGUCACAGAGGUGAUCUCUUGCAGUGCUGUACAGGUGAUGUUGAAAGGGUCAGUCAUCAAGUAUAAUGCCACAAAGUUGCAAAGAGGAUUUUUUAAAAAAAAGUCUUACAUUAUUGUUGUCUCUCUAUGUAUCUCAAAGCAGUGAUUCUUGCCAUUUAGUCUCAAAACCAGAAGAGAGUGUUUAUAACCCCCUGGCUAAUAGCUAUUGACAUGCUUAUCCUACCUGAAUAUGCCUAGAGAAUCUUCAGACCUGGUGGCCAUCACCACAUCCUGUUAACCAUAAUCUGUCAAGUGGUGGAAUUUGUUCAGAGACGAGUUGAUUUUGCCUUCCUCUGAAGCUGAGAGAAUAUGUGUUACCCAAGGUCACGCAAUGGGUUUUAAUGACUUAUUAGAGAUUUGAACACUUGUCUCCAGACUCAUUCUCCAGUGUUCAAACCACUAUACCAGUGCAAGCUGUAGCAUGAAACAUUAAAGGCACCAGGAUCCUGUCAUCCUGGAUGCUAUUCCAGGGAUGCAGCAGAGGGAAGGGAGGAGAGGAGGAAUCUCCCUUCUCCAAUGACUCUGGCACUCCAUACAGCAAAAGUAGAUGCAACAAGUGAUGACCACCAGCAAUUUCAUGCUAAGCUGGCAACCCAAGGGGAUGGAAAACAUGGUAGAAGCAGGGUGGACUCAUUACACAUAAUAAGUAAUGAGACAACGGCACGAUCAGGACAUUGACGGGUUUAUUGCAGGUACUGGAAUGAUUAAGAAAAAUGUUCCACACAGAAAGGGUGCUGGCGUUUGACAACUAAACGGCACAUUUAGCUAGCUGGGAGCUGGCAAAAGCCAUCCGUACGCGAACAUCAGGAGUGACAUCCGGCAUUAACUGGCACAAAACAAACAAACAAAGCAGCUGACAUAUUGCUACUGGCAAACCCAAGAGGAUGUUGGAUCAUUAAAGAAAAAUUGCUAAAAACAAUGCAUAGCUCUGCAACCAGCACACUUAAUGGACUUUUGUACAGCCUCUUACUUCAUAUGUACUGCUUUUUCUUCUGACAACUUGGAGGGAAAUUUUGUAGCUAAAGAAAGGAGAUUGAGAGAAAGAAAAAGCAGUUGAAAUAGUUUUGUUAUAUAUGGCAAUAGUUAGCAAUAUACAACACCAACAGUUGUUCUCUGACUUUAUUUCAAAGUGGUAUGAAAGCAAUUUUAAGAAAAAAGAACUCUGGCUGUUGAAAGGGUUUUCAAAGGACUGUUUCAAUGGCCAAGAAAAGAAAAGAGUCAACAUUAAGUAUUCCUAGUAAUAAUUUCAGGCUGAUAUCCAGCCACUGAUUUCACCUCUCCAGAUUGCUAAUACUUUAUUGAUCAUAGUGGCUAGUUUAUUUUAGGGCUGAAUGAACACAGACUCCUAAUCUUUUCCACUGUAUUUGCACCCUGAAAAGGUUGGGGGUUAUUUUCAGGGUAUUCCCUUGGGAGGGAGGGAUUUUCUAAUAGUUGGAGAGGUGGGACAAAACAGGAAUAUCAGAGAAGAAUUGCUCCCAUCCUUUCUUGUUGCUUCCCAUCAGGUCUCUCAGGACUUUAUCACAUGAAUCCUCUAUCCCACAGCAUUUUUGUGAGUACUUACCAAUAUUAUCACCCUCUUUAGUGUACCACUGUUGGCAUUCACCUUUUCCCUAACUCAAGCUUAAUUGUUUUUUGAAGACACAUGGCUGUAAGCCAAAAAUCACGAUAUUUUCCCCCAGCUCUCCUUCACCACUCCCCAGUUCUGUUGCUGUGUAAAAGUGUCCGAUACAUAGAGAACAA